GACGAACGCUGGCGGCGUGCCUAAUACAUGCAAGUCGAACGAGAGCGACCGGUGCUUGCACUGGUCAAUCUAGUGGCGCACGGGUGAGUAACACGUGGGUAACCUGCCCAUCAGAGGGGGAUAACAUCCGGAAACGGAUGCUAAAACCGCAUAGGUCUUCGAACCGCAUGGUUUGAAGAGGAAAAGAGGCGCAAGCUUCUGCUGAUGGAUGGACCCGCGGUGCAUUAGCUAGUUGGUGAGGUAACGGCUCACCAAGGCCGUGAUGCAUAGCCGACCUGAGAGGGUGAUCGGCCACAUUGGGACUGAGACACGGCCCAAACCCCUACGGGAGGCAGCAGUAGGGAAUCUUCCGCAAUGGACGCAAGUCUGACGGAGCAACGCCGCGUGAGUGAAGAAGGUUUUCGGAUCGUAAAGCUCUGUUGUUAGAGAAGAACAAGUGCUAGAGUAACUGUUAGCGCCUUGACGGUAUCUAACCAGAAAGCCACGGCUAACUACGUG
rnacentral:rRNA from 1 species